rnacentral:tRNA from 1 species
GAGGAUAGAGCUCAGUGGUAGAGCACAUGCCUAGCAUGCAUGCUUGAGGUCCUGGGUUCAACCCCCAGCACCUCCG